rnacentral:rRNA from 1 species
AGAGUUUGAUCCUGGCUCAGAACGAACGCUGGCGGCAGGCUUAACACAUGCAAGUCGAACGAGAAGCCAGGCUUCGGCCUGGUGGAAAGUGGCAGACGGGUGAGGAACACGUGGGAAUCUGCCCAGUGGUACGGAAUAACUUCGGGAAACCGGAGCUAAUGCCGUAUACGCCCUUCGGGGGAAAGAUUUAUCGCCAUUGGAUGAGCCCGCGUCGGAUUAGCUUGUUGGUAGGGUAACGGCCUACCAAGGCGACGAUCCGUAGCUGGUCUGAGAGGAUGAUCAGCCACACUGGGACUGAGACACGGCCCAGACUCCUACGGGAGGCAGCAGUGGGGAAUAUUGCACAAUGGGCGCAAGCCUGAUGCAGCCAUGCCGCGUGAGUGAAGAAGGCCUUAGGGUUGUAAAACUCUUUCACCGGUGAAGAUAAUGACGGUAGCCGGAGAAGAAGCCCCGGCCAACUCCGUGCCAGCAGCCGCGGUAAUACGGAGGGGGCUAGCGUUGUUCGGAAUUACUGGGCGUAAAGCGCACGUAGGCGGAUUGGUAAGUUGGGGGUGAAAUCCCAAGGCUCAACCUUGGAACUGCCCUCGAAACUGCCAGUCUUGAGUCCGGAAGAGGUGAGUGGAAUUCCUAGUGUAGAGGUGAAAUUCGUAGAUAUUAGGAAGAACACCAGU